GCAGCUGCUGGAAGAGAGUGGGUGAGUUGUGUUUAGUCUCUUUGCUAAAGAAAUCAGGCAAGGUUAAAGAGAUGUUUGGUGGCUAGUACUAUGGCUUGGACCCUAUAUGUACUGUUGAUGAAGUUAGGUGCUGUUCUGAGCAUUAUUUGUGGCGUUUUGGUUGAGGUUUUUUUAUGGCUCCGUAGAUCCCUGUGUAUUGCCAUCGUGCGGUCAUUAUUUAAAGUUGGUAUAACCAGAUAAGCAAGCGGUCUGCAACAUUCAUCUCUUGAGGGGUGUCUAACUUGGUGUUGCGGUGUGUUCGACCCUAAAUUAAUUUUACGCCGGAAUAUCCCUUUAACAUUAACUUUGCUGAGUAUAUCUCUAAAAAGGGCAUAAAAAGUUAAAUGAAAGUAUACUUAGUUUAAAUACUGUAUACCUGAAGUGAGGUAUACACCUGAGAGAAAUUGUUUAUUUUAGGAGACAUUUUCAGAAAAGAAAGAAAUUUUUAAAAUUCGUCUUACAGAUUUUCAGAACUGGUUCAACAUUUUGUAGGUAAUGACUUAAUCAAUGAAAUGAGGACGAAUGACUGUUCAGCAUUUAAAAGUAUAGUUCAUUUUGACUGACACGACACAAGCAGAUGAUAAUGUUACAAAACAGUAGAGAAUUGUAGGAAAGCGAUUGAUGUCAAAAAGCAUUUGCAACUUGAUGGAAGGAAUGAGAAACUGCUGAAGCGAUGUGCAAAAAUAACUUUAUGUUGUGGAGGUUGAACUAACUGUUGUGCAAAAGUUAAUAGUGAUGUGAGAAAUGCACCAAAGCGACUGAGAAAAUUUGUAAUACUAAAAGGUAGGAGACGAAACAAUGCUAUAUGCAGCAUUUGCCAACUAAAACAACUGUAUUGAGUGGCCCUAGGUUGUUCUGAGGUUCCAAAUAAAAGAACCACUGAAGUGAACUGGCUUGCAGCUAUUUUGCACCUAACAGUUUCCUCUUGGUUUCUUGUGGAUGUGUUUUGGAUUGUUCUCCUCCCCUGUGAAGCUAUUAGAGUGCUUUGGCACACACUUCAGUGGGAAAGGGGGAUUUUCAUUAGUCACAACUGAAGCCAGAUUUGCCUCAUCUUCUGGCAAUGUAUUCUUCUUCAUUGCAUGUGAGCCUCCGGCCUAAAAAAUGCCCCAAAGUCAGUCAAACAGUCCUGUUAGCCAACACCAGACCAAGCUUUACAUGCAGUCAUUUUUGCCGCUGUUUUUAAAGACUCAGCUCCAACAGAAUGGCAAAAUCCAAAAUCCCAGAGUGUCAUUUCUACUCAGCACAAUGAGAUGCAAUAUUGACAGCUUUGUGCUGCAGCUGAUGGAAGUUGCAAAAAUAUUCCUUAUCUCAGUCUGAAAUCCAGGAGCUGUUUUCUAAGGAAUAAAACUUUCUGUGUUUCCCAUGAAUACUACAGAGCCCGGGAGGUGACAUGAACUUUUAUUCUUUUUAACUCGCACGUGUGAUUAAGUAUCUCACAUGUGCGUUUUAAUAUCUCGAACAUGCAUUUUAUUUGUAUCUUGCACGUGUUUUUGUAAAAACUCUGGACAGAGAGCAUAUUAUCAACAUUUUCUUUCAUUUAGGUAUGACUCACAAAGAGAUACUUUAUAGCUUAGCCAUAUUUGGUAUUGUUUUGAGUAGGAGACACCUCAUCAGGAUCCUUACAGCACAGCGACUUUGUUGUAGGAGAUAUUCGGAAGUGCAGGAAGUGAUUUUGCUUAUUAAAGAACAGUUAAAUCAGCCAGUGAUUUACUGAAAUGCACAUGCAAGAUACUAAAUCCCAUGUGCGAAUUUAAAAAAAAAAAGUUAAUGUCACCUCCUGGGCUCCGUAGCAUGCAGCCCACAAUGGACUAAUGGAAACUUUUCAGUCAUAUAACACAGUACGAUGAUAAUUGUCUGUAUUUGUAGAAGAAAUAGUGAAUUUGUAUUUUUUCACAGUAAUUGUGAGAUGAGACAUUGAUCACAGUCCCACCCACAAUACAGGUGAACUAAAACUGUCACUGAUGAUAGGAUGUGAAAUUUACCGUGUACAUUAACCCGGUCUCAGAGAUGGGGUGUUAAAGGACUCCAACACAAAACACGUUUGUCUAAAAACAGCUCUUACUGUGUAUACUGUGUGUUUAGUGUGUUAUAGCAUAACCUGCACACUUCUGUUAAGAUUAAUUUGUGCUUCUUUAUGUAUGAAGAAAGAAACCUUUGUGAGCAAAACAGCCUUUACUACCCACAUAAUACCACACCUGCUUUACAGUCAGAUGUACAUAUGUUGAAUAACAAAUCUGCUUAAAGAAGAUACAAAAAAAUCUGUCUUACACAAACCUCCUCAUCACCUUUUUCCCAACUGUUGUGUUGUGCUGGUGUAUGCCCGUUAGGUAGCAAUAUACAGUGUAGUGUAUAUAUGUAUGGUUUUCAACCAGUUUGCACAGUUUUUCCUUGAAAAGUUGCGCCAUCGACCAUAGUCCUCUGUUUCCUGGUAUGGCUUAAACUACUGCCUACACUGCUCAGCACAGCCUUUACAACUUUUAGAAGCACUGCAGUGUUUGGUCCAUAUCUGUCAGCCUCACAGUGGUGUAUUAAAAUAUCAUUAUUUCAGCCUUCAAGGACCUGUUGAUGGACCCCCUUCAACAAGCCUUCUUCCUUCUGAUUGGCCACCUCUCUGGAGGCUUUCCAUAAGCCGGCCAUGGCUAGACCUCAAUGUUUUGGCCCUGCUUCCUCUAUUGUGGUCGAUCGG